GACCGUAAGGACAUGUGGACUGUAUAGAAGUGAGAAUGUUGGCAUGAGUAGCGAGACGUGGGUGAGAAUCCCACGGGCCGUAAACCCAAGGUUUCCAGGGGAAGGUUCGUCCGCCCUGGGUUAGUCGGGACCUAAGCCGAGGCCGAAAGGCGUAGGUGAUGGACAACAGGUUGAUAUUCCUGUACCGCCAAUAAGCGUUUGAGAGAUGGAGUGACACAGUAGGAUAAGCUAACCGUACUGUUGGUUAUGUACGGCUAAGCAUUGAGGCAGUCUAAAUAGGCAAAUCCGUUUAGACAAUGCUAGGAUGUGAUGGGGAAGCCCUUCGGGGCGAAGUAGCUGAUUUCACACUGUCAAGAAAAGCUUCUAUCGAGUUUAAAGGCGCCCGUACCGUAAACCGACACAGGUGGGUGAGGAGAGUAUCCUAAGGCCAGCGAGAGAACUAUUGUUAAGGAACUCGGCAAAAUGACCCCGUAACUUAGGGAGAAGGGGUGCCUGUCUAUGACAGGCCGCAGAGAAUAGGCCCAAGCGACUGUUUACCAAAAACACAGGUUUCUGCUAAGUCGCAAGACGAUGUAUAGGAGCUGACGCCUGCCCGGUGCUGGAAGGUUAAGGGGAUCUGUUAGAGCAAUCGAAGCAGUGAACUUAAGCCCCAGUAAACGGCGGCCGUAACUAUAACGGUCCUAAGGUAGCGAAAUUCCUUGUCGGGUAAGUUCCGACCCGCACGAAAGGCGUAACGAUUUGGGCACUGUCUCAACAAUAGACUCGGUGAAAUUGUAAUCCCGGUGAAGAUGCCGGGUACCUGCGACAGGACGGAAAGACCCCAUGGAGCUUUACUGUAGCUUGACGUUGGGUCUUGGUACUACAUGUACAGGAUAGGUGGGAGACUAUGAAGCAUGGACGCCAGUCUGUGUGGAGUCAUCCUUGGGAUACCACCCUUGUAGUACUGGGAUCCUAACCAUAGGCCUUGAAUCAGGUCUUGGAACACCGUCAGGUGGGCAGUUUGACUGGGGCGGUCGCCUCCUAAAAAGUAACGGAGGCGCUCAAAGGUUUCCUCAGCACGGUCGGAAAUCGUGCGAAGAGUGUAAAGGCAAAAGGAAGCUUGAUUGCAAGACAUACAGGUCGAGCAAGGACGAAAGUCGGACUUAGUGAUCCGGUGGUACCGCAUGGAAGGGCCAUCGCUCAACGGAUAAAAGCUACCCUGGGGAUAACAGGCUUAUCUCCCCCAAGAGUCCACAUCGACGGGGAGGUUUGGCACCUCGAUGUCGGCUCA
rnacentral:rRNA from 1 species